GUUCCAAACGGCAACGGGCUUGAUAAACUCGAUCGACGCCUCUUCGCCUGUGGCGGUGUGCGAAACCGAUCUCUGGUGCGGCGAAGGUGAUAUCAGGAUCUCACAAGGUUUAUCUGUUCCGCCUUUUCCCUUCUUCGAUUUGUGAAAUUAGGUUUCAAUCAGUAAGGAUCUCGAUCUGUUGCACCCGCCGCUCGAUUGUGUCGUUUGAAGAUCUGAGGUGGGUUUGCCCCAAUUUGUUCUCCAAAUCCUGAGAUGGGUAAAACGAUUUUUGUUUGGUUUUGUAAAAGCAGAUGAUGAAUUUGUAGAUACUACUGGUUAACGAUUUUGUUAGGGAUGAAAGAUUUAGGUUAUUGGGUGAUUUGGGGUUGACUAACGAACAGUGGCGGUAUCGUUGCUGGUCUCGCGUUGCACGAAUGGAAAUCGUGGGGGGGGGGGUCUACGUAUUGUUGUUUCCAAUAUAUUUGGAUGUCAGUGAUGUCAGUCGUGUCCCAAAAAAUAAAAGACAAAGAAUUUGGACACGGAAAAAGCCUACUUGUAGCGAGUUUAUAUGCUAUGUUCGUUUGUUAAGAUCUAAGCUAGGCUUGUGUAUCAGAUUGUAUGAUGAUGGUUAAAGUUUACAGAAUUUCAUGAUGAUAAAUCUCAGGGAGUUAAGCGAGAAAAGGUCUUCUAUUGGAUUUGUAUGAUGGAGGUUUUUAUCUUGAGUGAAAAAGAAUAGAGAAUUUUUUUCUUCAAUUGAGGGAAUUUUGGUGCAGGAGUAGCUCAACUAAUUUCAGAGUUUGGUUCAGAUAAAAUUCUGAAAAAGGGCAGGUAUACUGAUUAAAAGACCAUCUGAAAUCCUAAGUUUAGUGGUAUAACUUGAAAUUAGUCUAAGCUGUACGUGCUGUGAUAUAAUUCUCCAACCUACUUCUCUAUUUUGGCUACUUUUAAAUGAUUGAAUCAUUUAUGCUCUGCGUUUUGGAAAGUUGAAAUUUCUUAUUGACAUUAUGCUUGUCAUUUGCAUGCUACCAGAGGUAGUAGCUUUAACUUUUGGUACUAAAUUUGGUGCAUAAGAGUGAGAACGUAGUUCAUUUUUACUGAUGCAGGCAUUUGAAAAACUUUAUGAUUUGGAAUUUUUUCUGUUCUUUAAGAUAGUCUACACCAUAUGUUUCCUUUGCACCUGAUUUCUUUUUCCACUUCUGUUAAUCUAUUUGUGUUGUUUUACAGUUCGUUUCUAUUUAUUUUUUGUGUUUUUUAGUUUACCCAUGUGUUUCCUUUUAAAAAAGAGUGGCUGACAAACUACCCAAGGACUUUAUAUCUGUCCUCAAAGGUCUGUUAUUUAUGACAAAGUCAUCUAUCGGUGGGCCUCAUUUCCUCUCUUUCCAUCUUCUCUCUUUCUCUUUUUUUCUCUCUUCUCCCUCUGUACUGUUUUCUGUUCCUUUUAUCCUCCUUUCCUCCCUUUCUCCUCUCCAUCUAUUUAUCUUCUUGUUCCUGUGGUUGAUUAAUCAGCUGUUUCAAUUCUAUUUCGAAUCAUCCAAAAAAAUGCACAGUGAGCUGUCUGUUUUUUUUUUUUCACAUGUUUUAAAAGCGGAGGGGAUCAGGCAACCUUUUAAGCUGAGGCAUUUACUCACUUGUUUGUGUCAGGAUAAUAUGCUAUAAGUUAGUUGAAUUGUUAAAUGAUCAAAAAGAAGUAUUGCGACCAAAUAUGAUUUAUUCAUAGAAUGGGUAAAAUUAAGCUCCAAAACUUUGUUUAAGUGUUCUUAGAUGCCUACAAAUGAUAUGUUUGUUAUAUCUCAAUUACAAUGAAAAAGGUUGAAAGCAAACAUGUGUGGAGAUAUUUGAAAGUGUGGGAGUUGGCUGUGAUCUGUUGGUUUUCGUUGCUUUUGGGGACAAAAAUUGGUGUCCUAAAGCAUAGGACUUAAGUCUUAUAAAUACGAUAUUUCCUUCUUUUAUAAGGUGUCCUAUUAGUGAGAGGUUCUAGUACUCAGAAAAGGGACAUCUGUGAUAUCUGCAAAUGUAGUUUGAAGAACUUGGUUCAGUUGAUUUUUUAUGUUAAUAGGUGACAUGCAAAUUUUCUAUAACGUCUAGCUUCAUGAAUAUUAUUUGACAUGCUUUUACUUUUGAGACAUAGUUAAUGAGGUUUGGGAUUCAUGCCCUCUGAGAUUCAUCAAUUCUUCUUUGACACUGAAAUCUGAACAUGUGAACCAAAUUAGAUUCAUCAAUUCUUCCUCGAUAUCUCUUAUCUUGCAAGUUGAAUGGCAUAUUCGUCUUUGAAGCUGGGUAUGAUGAUUAAUGCAAGAGUCUUACUCAAUUUAGCUUUUUCACAGCAUGUGAAAAUUGAGACAGGAUCCUAUUUAAAAUUCUGAAAUUCACAUUUCCAUUGUUGGUAGUUAUGUCGUAAUAUGCAAACAGUCACUACCAUGUAUUAUGCUUGCUGUAUGAGUAUCUCUAAUUAGAUAGAUCCAACACAUAACUAUGUGAUAAGUUUUGUUGGUUGGAGGACAUUAAAACAGUUGGACGAUAUUGGAUGAGCAGGAUUGGGAGGUCCAGAUGAAGAACUUUCUACAUUCUUUUUAUACUUGUCAUAUAUUACGGGUCAUUGAGGGUGGGCCUUGGUACAACGGUAAAGAUGUUUCUUUGCAAUCUGGGAGAUCAGGAUCUGAGUCAUGGAAACAGCCUCUUUAAAUAUUUAAAGAUAAGGCUAUGUGCAUUGACCCUUCUCAGACCCUGCAUUGGUGGGAGCCUCGUGCACUGGGUACGACCUUUUUAUUCUUAAAAUAUAUUGUGGGUCAUUGUAGUUUCACAAUUUUAGCUUGUCAUUGUGUUCUCAUUAACACUUUCACAUGACCUCUUGAUGACCAUCUGCUUCCUGUUCAACUCUCCUGUACCAAUGUGCUAAUUUAUACUUCUUUUAUUGAAAAUAAAAUUCCCUGUCUUGCUUACAUUGGGUGUUCAUUUUUACGUUGGGUGUUAAUUUUUAACAGGUUAAUCUUUACUGGAUAUUGUCUUUGUUAUAAAAGCUAAUUUCAAGAUACUUGACAUUGAUAUUUUAUGUCUUCUAUUAGACUUUGCCUAAGUUGAGUAGAUCUAUCUGUUCUCGGUUUGUUAUGCUUCAAUUUAGAAAGAAAAAGCAGAUAAGUACAGAGAGUACUUUCUAGUUUGCCUAACACUUAUUCUUCUGUCCAGCACAUUCUAGUUUGUUGUUUGCUAAAGAUAGAUGGCUGCUCAUAAAAUUGCACAUGCUACCCUCAAGGGUCCUAGUGUUGUCAAGGAGAUCUGCAUUGGCCUUACACUGGGAUUAUUUGCCGGUGGUCUGUGGAAGAUGUACCACUGGAAUGAGCAGAGGAGAACAAGAGCUUUUUAUGACAUGCUAGAGAAGGGUGAAAUUAGUGUUGUUGUUGCAGAAGAAUAAUCAUCCUAGUCUCAUUCCUUCAGAUAUAAAUGGAGACCUGCAUUCUCAUCCUGGAAGCUCAAGUACAUUUUCAGAUCAAAUUUGCAGCUUUUUACUGCUGGAUGCAAAAUAAGUUUGGAUAAUUGUUGAGACCUACUACAAUGCGCAUCGUCGCAUGCGGCCUGCGAAACCCGCCGCUUCGGCCGCAGGUGAGGAGAGCGGGAAGCCGUUCCCUCCGACAUCCCCGCCAGGCUCUACAAGUUCCCAGAGCUACCAGCAGCUAUUGUGGACUUCGAUGAAGGUGCAUGCAUUAACCAUCUUAAACAAUCCAAGAAGCUAAUCUAGGAGAUGCUUGUAGAGUUACGUCUGCAACUAUUGACAUAUGGCACUCGAGAUUUGAAGACAGCCAUGGGCCACCUAUCAUGCGUUAUCUAAGACAAAUCAAUUUCGGAUGCUGUGUAGAGGUGAACAAGUCUACACGUCUUCCCUGAGGAGAACCAGGUCUACUUGCAAGCUUGAGUGAUAGGUCCAAGAGCAUCACUUUCACAAAUGAUGUGUCGAAACAUGCUUCACUCCGUGAACAGCAACUAAAUAUUCCUGAUGAUGACCUGCAGAAACACAAAUCUUGUUCGAGCCGGAUA